rnacentral:rRNA from 1 species
CUGGCGGCGUGCCUAAUACAUGCACCCCGAGCGGAACAGAAUGGGAGCUUGCUCCCUGCCUGUUAGCGGCGGACGGGUGAGUAACACGUGGGUAACCUGCCUGUAAGACUGGGAUAACUCCGGGAAACCGGGGCUAAUACCGGAUGGUUGUUUGAACCGCAUGGUUCAGACAUAAAAGGUGGCUUCGGCUACCACUUACAGAUGGACCCGCGGCGCAUUAGCUAGUUGGUGAGGUAACGGCUCACCAAGGCGACGAUGCGUAGCCGACCUGAGAGGGUGAUCGCCACACUGGGACUGAGACACGGCCCAGACUCCUACGGGAGGCAGCAGUAGGGAAUCUUCCGCAAUGGACGAAAGUCUGACGGAGCAACGCCGCGUGAGUGAUGAAGGUUUUCGGAUCGUAAAGCUCUGUUGUUAGGGAAGAACAAGUGCCGUUCAAAUAGGGCGGCACCUUGACGGUACCUAACCAGAAAGCCACGGCUAACUACGUGCCAGCAGCCGCGGUAAUACGUAGGUGGCAAGCGUUGUCCGGAAUUAUUGGGCGUAAAGGGCUCGCAGGCGGUUUCUUAAGUCUGAUGUGAAAGCCCCCGGCUCACCGGGGAGGGUCAUUGGAAACUGGGGAACUUGAGUGCAAAAGAGGAAAGUGGAAUUCCACGUGUAGCGGUGAAAUGCGUAAAGAUGUGGAGAACACCAGUGGCGAAGGCGACUCUCUGGUCUGUAACUGACCCUGAGGACAAAGCCUGGGGACAACAG